rnacentral:rRNA from 1 species
GACGAACGCUGGCGGCGUGCUUAACACAUGCAAGUCGAACGGAAAGGCCCUGCUUUUGUGGGGUGCUCGAGUGGCGAACGGGUGAGUAACACGUGAGUAACCUGCCCUUGACUUUGGGAUAACUUCAGGAAACUGGGGCUAAUACCGGAUAGGAGCUCCUGCUGCAUGGUGGGGGUUGGAAAGUUUCGGCGGUUGGGGAUGGACUCGCGGCUUAUCAGCUUGUUGGUGGGGUAGUGGCUUACCAAGGCUUUGACGGGUAGCCGGCCUGAGAGGGUGACCGGCCACAUUGGGACUGGGGUACGGCCCAGACUCCUACGGGAGGCAGCAGUGGGGAAUAUUGCACAAUGGGCGGAAGCCUGAUGCAGCAACGCCGCGUGCGGGAUGACGGCCUUCGGGUUGGAAACCGCUUUCGCCUGGGACGGAGCGUGGGUGACGGUAAUGGGUAAAGGAGCACCGGCUAACUACGUG